rnacentral:rRNA from 1 species
GAUGAACGCUGACAGAAUGCUUAACACAUGCAAGUCUACUUGAACUUCGGUUUGGGUGGCGGACGGGUGAGUAACGCGUAAAGAACUUGCCUCACAGUUAGGGACAACAUUUGGAAACGAAUGCUAAUACCUGAUAUUAUGAUUUUAGGGCAUCCUAGGAUUAUGAAAGCUAUAUGUGCUGUGAGAGAGCUUUGCGUCCCAUUAGCUAGUUGGAGAGGUAACGGCUCACCAAGGCGAUGAUGGGUAGCCGGCCUGAGAGGGUGAACGGCCACAAGGGGACUGAGACACGGCCCUUACUCCUACGGGAGGCAGCAGUGGGGAAUAUUGGACGAUGGACCAAAAGUGUGAUCCAGCAAUUCUGUGUGCACGAUGACGUUUUUCGGAAUGUAAAGUGCUUUCAGUUGGGAAGAAAAAAAUGACGGUACCAAAAGAAGAAGUGACGGCUAAAUACGUG